GCUGCUAAGACUAGAAACAGAUAUUAACCAUCCGUUGGUAAAUUAGAAACAGAAUCUCGUUCUGUUUUUGAAAUUAGAAAUAGAAAUUUUUUCGUUACUAAAAAUUUUUUCGUUGUUAAAAAUUUUUUCAUUGCUAACAUUAGCAAUGAAAUUUUAUUCCAUUUCUAAAUUUAGAAAUGAAUGGCUUUUCCAUUACUAUAAUAGAAAUGAAAGUACUAUCCG
rnacentral:lncRNA from 1 species